rnacentral:rRNA from 1 species
AACGAACGCUGGCGGCAGGUCUUAGGCAUGCAAGUCGAACGGGUGAAGCAGGUGCUUGCACUUGUGGAUCUAGUGGCGCACGAGUGAGUAACGCGUGGGAAACUGCCCAUCACUGGGGAAUAACGUUUGGAAACGAACGCUAAUACCGCAUACGCCGGAUAAGAGCGCCUCCUUAGAGGGAGGCGGAGAAAGCGGCUUCGGCCGCGCCGGAGGAACGGCCCGCGUGCUAUUAGCUAGUUGGCGGGGUAACGGCCUACCAAGUCGACGAUCAGUAGCCGAACUGAGAGGUUGAUCGGCCACAUUGGGACUGAGACACGGCCCAGACUCCUACGGGAGGCAGCAGUGGGGGAUAUUGCGCAAUGGGGGCAACCCUGACGCAGCAACGCCGCGUGAAGGAAGAAGGUUUUCGGAUCGUAAACUUCUUUAAGUGGGGAAGAUAAUGACGGUACCCACAGAAUAAGCCACGGCUAACUACGUG